rnacentral:rRNA from 1 species
AAUCAACGCUGGCGGCGUGCCUAACACAUGCAAGUCGAGCGAGAAAAGGGGAGCAAUCCUCUGAGUACAGCGGCGCACGGGUGAGUAACACGUGGGUAAUCUGCCCUAGAGUGGGGAAUAACACCGGGAAACCGGUGCUAAUACCGCAUACGAUAACGGGGUCUGCGGAUUUCGUUAUGAAAGGAGCAAUUCGCUCUUGGAGGAGCCCGCGGCUGAUUAGCUAGUGGUGAGGUAAUGACUCACCAAGGCUUCGAUCAGUAGCCGGUCUGAGAGGACGGUCGGCCACACUGGAACUGAGACACGGUCCAGACUCCUACGGGAGGCAGCAGUCGGGAAUUUUGGGCAAUGGGCGCAAGCCUGACCCAGCAACGCCGCGUGAAGGAUGAAAUCCCUCGGAUGUAAACUUCGUAAGAAUAGAAGAAUAAGUGUAGGAUAAUACCUGCACUGAUGACGGUACUAUUCGUAAG